rnacentral:rRNA from 1 species
UAUGUGCGGACGGGAUAAGCGCUGAAAGCAUCUAAGUGCGAAGCCCCCCUCAAGAUGAGAUUUCCCAUUUCUUCAAGAAAGUAAGACACCUCAGAGACGAUGAGGUAGAUAGGCCGGGAGUGGAAGAGCCGUGAGGCUUGGAGCGGACCGGUACUAAUCAGUCGAGGACUUGACCAAAA